UUUACUCACCUUAUGCUAUUGAGAGGUAGAAUCCUCUUACAUGGCUUAAGCCUUCGCCGUUCCGGUGAAGAUACAACACACUUGUCCUGUGUAGAGAAAUAGCUUCGCUUUGGUAGACCUCAGUCUUGGUAGAAUUCUCUGAUCUUCCCAGGAGCAUAAUAAGGAAUCCUGUGAGGAGCCAUGACCAGUUUCUCAUUUGCGUACCUCGUGGGAGGCUGCGACUGGGUAGAGUUCCUCUCCUGCCCUUUGUCUAAUCUUUCCUCAUGCUUCAUUUCUUGUCACCAGGCACUUGAUGUCUUGCUUCCACAUCUUACAACCAUGCUAUCCAAUUCUCUAGACACCAGCCCACCCAUCCUUCCCUCCCACCCCAAAACAACCUCUUUAUGUUUCCGGCUACAGUCUCCUCUCCUCACCUCUUCUCCCAGGCCUUCUCUUUUUCCUUCUUAGGCAGAAAACACUGGCGCUGUCUCUCAGCCUCCAAUCUGCAUUCAGAUGACGUGCAUCAGUAGCUUGGCAAAAUCAGGAAGCUUCCUUACACUCCCUUCUUAAAUGGCAGUAGUAAUUUUAAGUAACACAUUUCACUAUCAGAAAUAACUUUAGUGUUUUCCUAUCUGAAGGUGCCAGAAUAUUGGACUACAGUUUAGGAGAAAACCCCGGCUCAGUGUUGGUGUUGGUGGGCAUUUUGCCAACACUGUUCCCGGGAUGUGUUCUUCACUCUCACUUGCGAUCCACAAUGUCCUGGCAAAUAGAAACUACUGACCCAACAGAAAAGGCAGGACCACUGCCGGAGGAACCAUCGCGCCCCCUCGUGGCUACCUCGGAGAUGACACCCACAGGUCGAGGUCAGCCUCAGAAGCAGCUGAGAGAUCCAGGCGGGUCUGGGAAGGGCGCGCGGAUGCGGAAGCGGUGGCACACUAGGCCUAGAAGUUUAUUUCAGAAAAGUAUGUUCUUGUGGAAAUCAAUUUGAUUGGAAGUUGAGCAAUUCCUUCAUUUUUAAAAUGUCUUCUUCCUGUUAAAUUCAGUCACCUUCAAGGAAGCCGACGAGGCGCCAGACUUGGCUUCCACUCACUUGCAAGCCACUUCAUCCCUCCCAAAGAACCGGGAAAGGAAACUUCGCAAGAACCAACGCCCGACCAGCAGUUUCGCGGUUUCUGAGAUUGCGUUCUAGGGCGGAGCAGUAACGGGUGGGAGCUCUCAGAGUGAGGAUCUGCGGCCGCCCAAACCCAGCGACUGGCUCCUCUUCCCUCCACUCCCUACUUCCUCCCGUCCUGUCAUUCUCUGCUCUUCCCCACCUCUCCCUUCUCCGCUAUUUUCUCCCGCCGCACACCUGUUUUCACGUCCGCCAAGGGGGACCCCAAAAGACAGCUGUGGUUUUCAGUCCUUUGUAACCGCCGAAAGCUUCAUAAUGUCAAAAUCAAAGAGACGCCCCUUAGCACCUGGAGGCGAACUUAGUCACUAGCUGUGAGGUCCUUCAGAAUUCACGACCAAGAUUUUUGCCGAGCGGAGGAGAAAGGACGUGCGUCCACCUGGUCCGGUCGUCCUCCCGGUGGAGCGGAGGGGCGCCGCGGGUCCGGGACC